rnacentral:ncRNA from 2 species
UCCAUUGUGAGGUGGAAUCUGAAGGAAGCAGUAGGCAAACUCUUGGCCUGACGGAUAGAAACUAUAUAUAAGGCCAGAAAUGUUAGAUAAAGUUGCUAUACAAACUAAAGUCUUUUCCUUAGGGGCUUUGAUCUCUAACAUGACUUUCUUAAAGUGAAUAUAAGAAAUAUUUUUACUAC